GCCCGGCUAGCUCAGUCGGUAGAGCAUGAGACUCUUAAUCUCAGGAUCGCGGGUUCGAGUCCCACGUUGGGCG
rnacentral:tRNA from 1 species